CUUAAGUUAAUGCUAAGUUAGCUAACUUUAUUCCUUGUAUCAAGACAACUACAUUAAUUUGCUGUACGAGCUGUCGGGGGAACUUCCAGUGAGUUCAUCAGCAUGAAAUAUAAUGUUGGUUAUGGUGCUGGUUCUGCUCAGGAACCAGCAUUCUGAGCACCCUGAACUCUGUGUAGCAGCAUAGGAGUAUAUUCAUAUCCCCCUAUGCAGCGUGUCCCGUUAAACAGAGUUCACUGCCGGCCAAUCAUUGGGUAGGUGGAGAGUAUUUAAGCAGCGCUCCUCUCCCUGCUUCUCUCUCUCUGCACUUCCGUCUGUGUACUUCCGGGGUCAAGUGUUCGAUUGAGACAGUGACCGGUGUGCUGUUGGGGCAUACGUGUCUUUCGGCGUCCUAUUGUGGUGAGACGCCCGUAGCCGCCUGGGUUUCUCCCUCCCUCGCUCAUGUGCCUGUGUAUAUGCUUAGAAGGUGUAAUCUGCCUGAAUGCCAGCCGUCUGAGAACUCCGCUGUUUUGUCUCCACUGCUUUGUCUCCGCUGUUCUGUCUCUGUGGUUGCUCUCGUUGCUUCGUCUGCGCAUCCGCUGCUUGCCUUGGCUGGCUGCUUUCCCGCCGCUGUGCUGCGGCUUGCCGCUGACCUGUUCCGCUGCUGCUCGGUCUUGUGGCUUCGCCUGGCUGGGAGCUUGGCGCUGGUGGCCUCUGUCUGCGCUCUGGACUGCUCUGCCUGCUGUGGUCGGCCCGCGUGCUGGGCUGUGACUGACUUGCCAGGCCGCUCGGCCUCUCCUGGCGGACACUACGUGCAAUUUCUAUUAUUAUAGAGUUCCGCUUUUAUGUGUGUGUUUUAAUGGUGGGGUUGUAGGUCUCUUUUUGUUUAGUUACAAUUGUAUAGGUUUUUCUUUUGCUUUUGUUUAGAUUAUUUCUAUAGGUUUACCUUUUUUGUUUUAGGGUUAUUUUGACUUAGUUAUAUUUUCUAGUCUAGUUGCUUUAUUUGAUUUUGGGAAUUGGGUGGAUUUUCCUUGAGUAGUUCUUCCUUUGUUUAUCAUGUUGUUUUGCUUGUUUAAUUUGUGUUUAGUGGCUCUACCUUCAAUUUAGUUAGUCCAAUUUUGUUACUUUUGUUUAAUUGCUUUAUUUUGUUUUUGACCCCACUAAUUGUUUCAUUCCCUUUUCAGUUGCUGAGGAUCGGUGGUGGUGCUGGUGGUCUGGGUGGCGGUAUCCCCUCCUUCCGUGUGCGGUGCUCCUCUGGGAUUGGUUUUCUUUGCACAACCCUGUGUGAGUGUGUCACGUGUGACUGGGUGCUUUUUGAGUUGUUUUGGGUGGAUCCCUCCCCCCUUUCACUAGCCCAUUGUCCACCUGGUAAGCCUCAGCACCUGAUUAGGUUUCCCUCUUCCCCUUCUUGUGUGUGGUAUUUUAAACGGAUGUUAACUUGUUAAUAAAAUUUAUUAAUUUUU